rnacentral:rRNA from 1 species
GACGAACGCUGGCGGCGUGCUUAACACAUGCAAGUCGAACGGCAAGGCCCUGCGAUCGUGGGGUGCCCGAGUGGCGAUCGGGUGAGUAACACGUGAGUAACCUGCCCUUGAUUUUGGGAUAACUUCAGGAAACUGGGCUUAAUAUCGUACAGCAGACCCCGUACCGUGGUGAGGAGUGGAACGUUUCGGCUGUUGGGGAUGGACGCGCGGCUUACGAGCUAGUUGGUGGGGGAGUGGCUUACCAAGGCAUUGACGGGUAGGCGGCUUGGGAGGGUGACCGGCCACAUUGGGACUGAGAGACGGCCCAGAGUCCUACGGGAGGCAGCGGUGGGGAAUAUUGCACAGUGGGCGGACGCCUGAUGCGACAACGCCCCGUGCGGGAUGACGGCCUUCGGGUUGUAAACCGCUUUCGCCUGUGACGAAGCGUGAGUGACGGUAAUGAGUAAAGAAGCACCGGCUAACUACGUG